UAAAAUGUUUGUUUGAUUGUGUACAGGGU
rnacentral:piRNA from 1 species